rnacentral:rRNA from 1 species
UACGUAGGGGGCAAGCGUUGUCCGGAUUCAUUGGGCGUAAAGAGCGUGUAGGCGGCCAGGUAGGUCGGUUGUGAAAACUGGAGGCUCAACCUCGAGACGCCGGUGGAAACCAUCUAGCUAGAGUCCGGAAGAGGAGAGUGGAAUUCCUGGUGUAGCGGUGAAAUGCGCAGAUAUCAGGAAGAACACCCGUGGCGAAGGCGGCUCUCUGGUACGUGACUGACGCUGAGACGCGAAAGCGUGGGGAGCGAACAGG